UACGAAGGGGGCUAGCGUUGCUCGGAAUCACUGGGCGUAAAGCGCACGUAGGCGGAUUGCUAAGUCAGGGGUGAAAUCCUGGAGCUCAACUCCAGAACUGCCUUUGAUACUGGUGAUCUUGAGUCCGGGAGAGGGAUGCAGAAUUCCAGGUGUAGCGGUGAAAUGCGUAGAUAUCUGGAGGAAUACCGGUGGCGAAGGCGGCAUCCUGGACCGGCAUUGACGCUGAUGAGCGAAAGCUAGGGGAGCAAACGGGG
rnacentral:rRNA from 1 species